GAUGAACGCUGGCUACAGGCUUAACACAUGCAAGUCGAGGGGAAACGACGGGGAAGCUUGCUUCCCCGGGCGUCGACCGGCGCACGGGUGAGUAACGCGUAUCCAACCUGCCUCUGACUGAGGGAUAACCCGUCGAAAGUCGGCCUAAUACCUCAUGGCAUCGUCUGCGGGCAUCCAACGACGAUUAAAGAUUUCAUCGGUCAGGGAUGGGGAUGCGUCUGAUUAGCUUGUUGGCGGGGUAACGGCCCACCAAGGCUACGAUCAGUAGGGGUUCUGAGAGGAAGGUCCCCCACAUUGGAACUGAGACACGGUCCAAACUCCUACGGGAGGCAGCAGUGAGGAAUAUUGGUCAAUGGGCGGGAGCCUGAACCAGCCAAGUAGCGUGCAGGAUGACGGCCCUAUGGGUUGUAAACUGCUUUUAUGCGGGGAUAAAGUGAGGGACGUGUCCUUCAUUGCAGGUACCGCAUGAAUAAGAACCGGCUAAUUCCGUG
rnacentral:rRNA from 1 species